rnacentral:lncRNA from 1 species
GUCAAAUCACAUUAUGCAUACUAUAGUAAUUCAUACUCUAAAUAUAACUCAAUAUGCAUGACAUUUCAAAACAUAAUUUCAUUUAAAUGCAUUUUCUGGGAAAAAUACCAAGUAUAUAAGUAUAUACUGAAAACCAAAAGCCCACUCACUGAUAUGUGGAAGGGUCGUAACCCUCGAGCCUUACGUGACUGCGCUCGUCCUCAGGAUAUGUCUCACUUAUAUGUGAAACAACUAUAUAAACGUUAUUUAAAGCACACAACCAAAACUAGCUAAUAACUUCUCAUACAAUGCUCAAAUGGGGUGUUUGAAUAUACCAACGUGAUCUACUCAACCUCAUGAACAUCCCCAUAUUUUAAAAAAAAAAAUUGGACGUCUCACGCGCCGGCCAAGGCACCGUUAGACGCACCCCCACUCGCGGCCAAACCCUAACUGAGCCUAACGGUAGUUAGGAUUAUUCCGUUAAAACCUUAAUAAAAGUUAACGGCGUUACCUGACACCGUUAGAAUAUUCCGUCAAACUUGACGAAAUAUUCUCCUUCGUCUUCCUUGGUUCGUCGGAGACCGUCGCCGGCACCGCUGCGAUCGCCAGUUUCUGGAAAAUAUUCAAACCUUCAUUUCUCACUCAUUUUUGCACCAAAAUCCAUGAAAUUUGUCUUAAAAUGAAGCUUAGAGUGAGUAGAACACAUUCUUACCACUUUCAAGCCUUGAAAUCCAUGGGAUCUCGCCGGAGAAACUUCGAUAAUCCAGCCAAAAUUUGAAACUCGUCAAAAUAAGCUUCCUGAUGAGUAGAUUUUAUAUUAUAUAUUUUACCCUAUUCUUAGUAUAUUUUGGAAGAAUUUUGAUACUUUGAAUUGUUUUUUCAAUAUAGGACUGUUGACUUCCUCUGGAGCAAACCAGGACCAAAUGGACGAAUUUUGGAGUAAUUCUAGCUGUAGGACGUUCGUGAGUCAAUUAGCUUGAUUGUAUCAAAAUUUGGGAUUUUUCCACCAAGUGGUUAUUUUUUGGCGAUAAAAUAAAGGAGCGAUGCGCGGUUUUGGAAAAUGACGUUUUUGGGCUUAAAUUGCGUUUUUGGAGCCCGAGAUGACCUCGGAUGGUUUUGUGGCCUUCUGGAGAUGUGUUCGGAACGUCCAAAUCUUUAAAAUAGGCUAUCUUGGGCUGGAUUUGGAGGAGAUCUGAGGCUAAAACGUGGCUGGACAAAUACUUGGCAGAUUCGCCUAGUUUAAUUAGGGUUUUAUUUUCUAAGAUAUUUUAUUAUUUUUCUUAGUUUCCUAAUUGGAAUAAGAGACCUAUGUUUUAGGGUUUGUGGAUGGCUAAGAAAAUAUAUUACUUUGCCGUUCUUUAUUUAUGUGGGUACGCUUUAUUUUAUGCAACUUUGGAGACAGAGAGAAUUGCUAGGGUUUUUCGAGAUUAUCUACUUGAAGGUGCAAAAAAAAAAAAAAAAAAAAAAAAAAAAUUCAAAAAUAUGUUGCUUCCUUUAUUUACCCAGUUGAUUUUUAUAUUUUUUUAACGCAUUUUGGUUAAUUACAGGUUGCAAACAUGGAAAAUAAAGAGCAUCCUAUACUGGAAUCGUGCACCUAGCAGCAAGUCUACAUUAACAUCAACCAUAUCCACACUAUGCUAGAAAUUUAAAGCAGUCAACAUGAAGUCAUUCACAAAUGCAAGUUUGGGGGUGAUUGUUGCAGAUCCAGCACAUAAACAUAAUUUUGAGCAGUUAAUUUUUUGCAGCUCAGUUUUGCAAUGCAUGGAGGAGAAGCACAGUUAAAUCACAGAUCCAUACACCACAGAACUGAGUACAGCUGUUACUACCAGUUCUAUAACAACUAAACUUGCAGGGAUUCAAAUUUUACCUCCCAAAUGCACAUAUCUGGGUCCUGAGGCUUUUGCUGUUUGUGUUCGUUGAGCUUGUGUGUUUACUUCCUUUUCCCUCGGCUCUAUCCUGGAUCCGUAUACUCCUACACAAAGAGCACCAAUAUGAGUACAUGCAGGACAUAAAACGAGCAUCUAUAUAGAUCAGGACCCAACCAAAGUCUGGAAUUAAUCUUACUUUCUCAUGGACAUCGGAUCUGAGAUGUCCGAGCUGUUCAUGUCUUCGACCUCUGUGAAGGGGCCAAACUGGAGUUCCUAUACAGAUCAAAACAAAAAUCACUAGAUUCAUGAGUUAGAAACCAUCAAUUUUUUUAGCAGAUCUAUUACUCAUGCAUGGGAGUUGAAUAGUAUGUCAUUAUUCAAGUAUGGGACGGGUUAUUCAUUAUGUCCUCUAAACAGUUCCAGUUCACAUGGUUUACAUGUAUGUUCUCAGGUCUGAUCCAGGGCUUACUUAAUUCUUUUAUGGGAGCAAAUGUGUUUUAGUCCGUAGUUGUUACCGGUUUAGAGAUCCAAGUUUUUCAAGCGCAUGUAUGUAUUCAGUUCGUAUAAAGUCAUUUUGGGAGUAUAUACACAGUAAAUAUGGCAUUAUAAAUGAAAUGUAGUUGAACCUGUAAAUGUUAAGCUUAGCAAAAGCAGAAGAACGAGAUUUUUACCUUUCUGAUUUGCAGAGGCCGAGACAUUUGCCGUUUAUUUUGUCUUCUGGGACCACUGGACCGGAAGCUUAAGGUUGUUUUCUCUCGGUUGUACGUUGUAUUUGAGUGUCAUUUUUCAGUCACAGUAGUGGUUUUAUUAAUCAAAUACCAGAUCAUAGUCAAUCAAUCAAAAGGGUUACGGUUUCUACCUCAAAAUUUGCAGAUCCGUGAGUUUGGAAACUAUUCGAGUCAAUCUUUUUAGUCUCUCUGUGAAUCUCGGGUACC